UACGAAGGGUGCAAACGUUGCUCGGAAUCAUUGGGCGUAAAGCGCACGUAGGCGGCAUUCUAAGUCGGAUGUGAAAUCCCUCGGCUUAACCGGGGAACUGCAUCUGAUACUGGAUGGCUUGAGUUCGGGAGAGGGAUGCGGAAUUCCAGGUGUAGCGGUGAAAUGCGUAGAUAUCUGGAGGAACACCGGUGGCGAAGGCGGCAUCCUGGACCGACACUGACGCUGAGGAGCGAAAGCCAGGGGAGCAAACGGG
rnacentral:rRNA from 1 species